rnacentral:rRNA from 1 species
GACGAACGCUGGCGGCGUGCUUAACACAUGCAAGUCGAACGGAAAGGCCCUGCAUUUGUGGGAUGCUCGAGUGGCGAACGGGUGAGUAACACGUGAGUAACCUGCCCUUUACUUUGGGAUAACUUCAGGAAACUGGGGCUAAUAUCGGAUAUGAGCUCCUUCUGCAUGGUGGGUGUUGUAAAGUUUCGGCGGUUGGGGAUGGACUCGCGGCUUAUCAGCUUGUUGGUGGGGUAGUGGCUUACCAAGGCUUUGACGGGUAGCCGGACUGAGAGGGUGACCGGCCACAUUGGGACUGAGAUACGGGCCAGACUCAUACGGGAGGCAGCAGUGGGGAAUAGUGCAAAAUGGGCGGAAGCCUGAUGCAGCAACGCCGCGUGCGGGAUGACGGCUUUCGGGUUGUAAACCGCUUGCGCCUGUGACGAAGAGUGAGUGACGGUAAUGGGUAAAGAAGCAACGGCUAACUACGUG